rnacentral:tRNA from 1 species
UGGGCUUUCGCCAAAUGGUAAGGCAGAUGACUUUGACUCAUCCAGUGUCGGUUCGAUUCCGGAAAGCCCAA